CAAAAAGCAGCCCGUAAGGGUGAGGUGGUUCGCCUUCAACUUAAAUGCUAGUCUAUUAUAAGGCUACAUUCCCAAAUUGCGGGAACACCCUAAUGCUCUCACUUCCAAGCUGACAUUUGAAAGAAUGCAGUGGCCAGGCUAAUCACCUGGGUAUGGACAUAACGUCGAGAGAUGAUACAAUGGGCUAUCCGCAUCCUUUCCCUUCAUACGCAUAGUAUAUGGAAAAGGUUCAGAGACUAAAUGGGAAUGGCUAGUUUAUUAAAUUCAACGUUUUAGAUGCGUACUGAAGUUAAUGAUACUAGUUAAGAUAUAGUCCGUCGGUAGGCGAAAACUUACGGUUCAAAGCUUGAAGCUUGACCCUUGGAAGCAACUCAAUGCUUUCGAGUGAAUAUAAAACGGGAGCCUGCGGCUUAAUUUGACUCAACACGGGGAAACUCACCAGGUCCAGA
rnacentral:rRNA from 1 species